rnacentral:rRNA from 2 species
UACAUGCAAGUCGAACGAACUCUGGUAUUGAUUGGUGCUUGCAUCAUGAUUUACAUUUGAGUGAGUGGCGAACUGGUGAGUAACACGUGGGAAACCUGCCCAGAAGCGGGGGAUAACACCUGGAAACAGAUGCUAAUACCGCAUAACAACUUGGACCGCAUGGUCCGAGUUUGAAAGAUGGCUUCGGCUAUCACUUUUGGAUGGUCCCGCGGCGUAUUAGCUAGAUGGUGRGGUAACGGCUCACCAUGGCAAUGAUACGUAGCCGACCUGAGAGGGUAAUCGGCCACAUUGGGACUGAGACACGGCCCAAACUCCUACGGGAGGCAGCAGUAGGGAAUCUUCCACAAUGGACGAAAGUCUGAUGGAGCAACGCCGCGUGAGUGAAGAAGGGUUUCGGCUCGUAAAACUCUGUUGUUAAAGAAGAACAUAUCUGAGAGUAACUGUUCAGGUAUUGACGGUAUUUAACCAGAAAGCCACGGCUAACUACGUGCCAGCAGCCGCGGUAAUACGUAGGUGGCAAGCGUUGUCCGGAUUUAUUGGGCGUAAAGCGAGCGCAGGCGGUUUUUUAAGUCUGAUGUGAAAGCCUUCGGCUCAACCGAAGAAGUGCAUCGGAAACUGGGAAACUUGAGUGCAGAAGAGGACAGUGGAACUCCAUGUGUAGCGGUGAAAUGCGUAGAUAUAUGGAAGAACACCAGUGGCGAAGGCGGCUGUCUGGUCUGUAACUGACGCUGAGGCUCGAAAGUAUGGGUAGCAAACAGGAUUAGAUACCCUGGUAGUCCAUACCGUAAACGAUGAAUGCUAAGUGUUGGAGGGUUUCCGCCCUUCAGUGCUGCAGCUAACGCAUUAAGCAUUCCGCCUGGGGAGUACGGCCGCAAGGCUGAAACUCAAAGGAAUUGACGGGGGCCCGCACAAGCGGUGGAGCAUGUGGUUUAAUUCGAAGCUACGCGAAGAACCUUACCAGGUCUUGACAUACUAUGCAAAUCUAAGAGAUUAGACGUUCCCUUCGGGGACAUGGAUACAGGUGGUGCAUGGUUGUCGUCAGCUCGUGUCGUGAGAUGUUGGGUUAAGUCCCGCAACGAGCGCAACCCUUAUUAUCAGUUGCCAGCAUUAAGUUGGGCACUCUGGUGAGACUGCCGGUGACAAACCGGAGGAAGGUGGGGAUGACGUCAAAUCAUCAUGCCCCUUAUGACCUGGGCUACACACGUGCUACAAUGGAUGGUACAACGAGUUGCGAACUCGCGAGAGUAAGCUAAUCUCUUAAAGCCAUUCUCAGUUCGGAUUGUAGGCUGCAACUCGCCUACAUGAAGUCGGAAUCGCUAGUAAUCGCGGAUCAGCAUGCCGCGGUGAAUACGUUCCCGGGCCUUGUACACACCGCCCGUCACACCAUGAGAGUUUGUAACACCCAAAGUCGGUGGGGUAACCUUUUAGGAACCAGCCGCCUAAG